ACAGGACCUGCUGUAAAAUGUAGGUCCUAGUCAUAACCAUGCACUGCCACACUAGCGGUAACAACAGGACCUGCUGUAAAAUCUAGGUCCUAGUCAUAACCAUGCACUGCCACACUACCGGUAACAACAGGACCUGCUGUAAAAUCUAGGUCCUAGUCAUAACCAUGCACUGCCACACUACCGGUGACAACAGGACCUGCUGUAAAAUCUAGGUCCUAGUCAUAACCAUGCACUGCCACACUACCGGUGACAACAGGACCUGCUGUAAAAUCUAGGUCCUAGUCAUAACCAUGCACUGCCACACUACCGGUGACAACAGGACCUGCUGUAAAAUUUAGGUGCUAGUCAUAACCAUGCACUGCCACACUACCGGUGACAACAGGACCUGCUGUAAAAUGUAGGUCCUAGUCAUAACCAUGCACUGCCACACUAGCGGUAACAACAGGACCUGCUGUAAAAUCUAGGUCCUAGUCAUAACCAUGCACUGCCACACUACCGGUGACAACAGGACCUGCUGUAAAAUCUAGGUCCUAGUCAUAACCAUGCACUGCCACACUACCGGUGACAACAGGACCUGCUGUAAAAUCUAGGUCCUAGUCAUAACC